rnacentral:lncRNA from 1 species
GGUGGAAUUUGCCAGAAAUGGGUCUUCAUUGCAUGGAGUCAGAGACUCAGGGCUCUCAGCUGCCCUGACCGCACCUCCGCCCAAGCCUGAGGCAUUUUGCGCCUGAGAGGAGAGGUGACAGAGUGGGCACAGGAACCAGCCACAACCACAGGGGCUCUUGCAAAUCGCAGCACAUAACAAACAGCCCUUGCCUGGUUUGCAGACAGGUUUAUUUCUGGGAAAGUUAAAUUCAGGACUCGCUCCAUGCAAAAUUGUAAAGUAGGACAUACCUGAACCUGCAGAAGGUUGGAGCGUUCCUUACCAUACUCCGGACCUGGCCAGGUCAGAAAGUGGAGCUCUGGAAGUUAAGGAACUUGCCUGGGGCCAUGCUGCUUGCUCAUCUAAGAGGCCCUCCCCUGCAGCAGUUAAGUUUCCGGCCCCAUAAAAGCCAGAUCCACGCCGACCUGAUGGACACCAAAGGUGGAG